GAUGAACGCUGGCGGUAUGCUUAACACAUGCAAGUCGAACGGACUCUUCGGAGUUAGUGGCGGACGGGUGAGUAACGCGUGAGAAUCUGGCUUUGGGUUCGGGACAACCACUGGAAACGGUGGCUAAUACCGGAUGUGCCGAGAGGUAAAAGAGAAAUUGCCUGAAGAUGAGCUCGCGUCUGAUUAGCUAGUUGGUGAGGUAAAGGCUCACCAAGGCAGCGAUCAGUAGCUGGUCUGAGAGGAUGACCAGCCACACUGGGACUGAGACACGGCCCAGACUCCUACGGGAGGCAGCAGUGGGGAAUUUUCCGCAAUGGGCGAAAGCCUGACGGAGCAAUACCGCGUGAGGGAAGAAGGCUCUUGGGUUGUAAACCUCUUUUCUUAGGGAAGAACAAAAUGACGGUACCUAAGGAAUCAGCAUCGGCUGACUCCGUG
rnacentral:rRNA from 1 species